GACCGGAUCGGCGGCCUCCUUCGUUAUGGCAUCCCGGACUUCAAACUUGAGAAGUGGGUGAUCGACCGCCGCAUUCGCUUAAUGGAACAGGAAGGAAUUAUCUUCAGAACCAACUCGCACGUAGGAGUGAACGUCAGCGCGCAACAUCUCAAGGAUGAAUAUGAUGCCGUCGUUCUUUGCGGUGGCGCUUCGGCUCCCCGCGACCUGCCAAUUCCUGGACGCAACCUCAAGGGCGUUCAUUUCGCAAUGGAGUUCCUUCCCCAGCAGAAUAAGCGGGUAGCGGGAGACCGAAUUACGGCGGAUGAAAUUCUGGCAACAGGCAAGAAU
rnacentral:misc_RNA from 1 species